rnacentral:rRNA from 1 species
UAGAGUUUGAUCCUGGCUCAGGAUGAACGCUGGCGGCGUGCUUAACACAUGCAAGUCGAACGAACCUUCGGGUUAGUGGCGGACGGGUGAGUAACGCGUGAGAAUCUGCCCUCAGGAGGGGGAUAACGGCUGGAAACGGCCGCUAAUACCCCAUAUGCCGAGAGGUGAAAUGAAUUUCGCCUGAGGAUGAGCUCGCGUCUGAUUAGCUAGUUGGUGUGGUAAAGGCUCACCAAGGCUUCGAUCAGUAGCUGGUCUGAGAGGAUGAUCAGCCACACUGGGACUGAGACACGGCCCAGACUCCUACGGGAGGCAGCAGUGGGGAAUUUUCCGCAAUGGGCGCAAGCCUGACGGAGCAACGCCGCGUGAGGGAUGAAGGCCUCUGGGCUGUAAACCUCUUUUAUCAAGGAAGAAGAUCUGACGGUACUUGAUGAAUAAGCCACGGCUAAUUCCGUGCCAGCAGCCGCGGUAAUACGGGAGUGGCAAGCGUUAUCCGGAAUUAUUGGGCGUAAAGCGUCCGCAGGCGGUUUUACAAGUCUGUCGUUAAAACGUGGAGCUCAACUCCAUUUCGGCGAUGGAAACUGUAAGACUAGAGUGUGGUAGGGGCAGAGGGAAUUCCCGGUGUAGCGGUGAAAUGCGUAGAUAUCGGGAAGAACACCAGUGGCGAAGGCGCUCUGCUGGGCCAUAACUGACGCUCAUGGACGAAAGCCAGGGGAGCGAAAGGGAUUAGAUACCCCUGUAGUCCUGGCCGUAAACGAUGAACACUAGGUGUCGGGGGAAUCGACCCCCUCGGUGUCGUAGCCAACGCGUUAAGUGUCCGCCU